rnacentral:rRNA from 1 species
UACAGAGGGUGCAAGCGUUAAUCGGAAUUACUGGGCGUAAAGGGUGUGUAGGUGGUAAUGUAAGUUAGGUGUGAAAUCCUCGGGCUUAACCUGAGAAUUGCGCUUAAUACUGCAUUUCUAGAGUACUGCAGAGGGCAGUGGAAUUUCCAGUGUAGCGGUGAAAUGCGUAGAUAUUGGAAGGAACACCAGUGGCGAAGGCGACUGCCUGGAUAGAUACUGACACUGAGACACGAAAGCGUGGGUAGCAAACAGG